rnacentral:rRNA from 1 species
CAAAGGAAUUGACGGGGCCGCACAAGCGGUGGAGCAUGUGGUUAAUUCGACGCAACGCGAAGAACCUUACCAGGAAUUGACAUCCCCUGACAACUUAUGAAAGUAGGUCUUCUACCUUCGGGUAGACAGGGAGACAGGUGGUGCAUGGUUGUCGUCAGCUCGUGUCGUGAGAUGUUGGGUUAAGUCCCGCAACGAGCGCAACCCUUACGGUUAGUUGCCAGCGGUUAAAGCCGGGCACUCUAGCUGAACUGCCGUUGACAAAACGGAGGAAGGUGGGGAUGACGUCAAAUCAUCAUGCCCUUUAUAUCCUGGGCUACACACGUGCUACAAUGGCCUGUACAGAGGGCAGCGAAGGGGCAACCUGGAGCGAAUCCCAAAAAGCAGGUCUCAGUUCGGAUUGCAGGCUGCAACUCGCCUGCAUGAAGUCGGAAUCGCUAGUAAUCGCGGAUCAGCAUGCCGCGGUGAAUACGUUCCCGGGCCUU